rnacentral:rRNA from 1 species
GACGAACGCUGGCGGCGUGCUUAACACAUGCAAGUCGAGCGGUAAGGCCCUUUCGGGGGUAUACGAGCGGCGAACGGGUGAGUAACACGUGAGCAACCUGCCCUUCUCUUUGGAAUAAGCGUUGGAAACGACGUCUAAUGCCGAAUAUGACCCCCUGUCGCAUGGUGGGGGGUGGAAAGCUCUGGCGGAGAAGGAUGGGCUCGCGGCCUAUCAGCUUGUUGGUGUGGGUAAUGGCCCACCAAGGCGACGACGGGUAGCCGGCCUGAGAGGGUGACCGGCCACACUGGGACUGAGACACGGCCCAGACUCCUACGGGAGGCAGCAGUGGGGAAUAUUGGACAAUGGGCGAAAGCCUGAUCCAGCAACGCCGCGUGAGGGAUGACGGCCUUCGGGUUGUAAACCUCUUUCAGCAGGGACGAAGCGAGAGUGACGGUACCUGCAGAAGAAGGACCGGCCAACUACGUGCCAGCCGCCGCGGUAA